rnacentral:rRNA from 1 species
UACAGAGGUCUCAAGCGUUGUUCGGAUUCAUUGGGCGUAAAGGGUGCGUAGGUGGCGGGGUAAGUCAGGUGUGAAAUCUCGGGGCUCAACCCCGAAACUGCACUUGAUACUGCCUUGCUCGAGUACUGGAGAGGAGAUUGGAAUUUACGGUGUAGCAGUGAAAUGCGUAGAUAUCGUAAGGGAAGACCAGUGGCGAAGGCGAAUCUCUGGACAGUUACUGACACUGAGGCACGAAGGCC